AAUUACACCGCCCAGAUCUCCCUUAGAAGGCCACUUGGUCCUGUGCCAAAUUUGGGUAAUAAAAAGAGUCUGCACGUUCUCUGAAAACACAGCUGAAGCUCUUCAGGCAAGGACUAACACACGAAGGAGCCAAGGGUACAGACAAAAACAAAGGACGAAGCUACCACUCACUCUCUGCAGGAAGCCACGGUAUCGGACAAGCCUUCACAGGCAUCACUUCGCAGAAGCUUGAAAACUGACCAAAAUGAAGUAUUCAACCAACAAAGUUCCCUCAGCAAAGCCGAAUAGCACAUUAAGCAACACCUCAGUCAAGCCUGCCAAGCCAAAAAAGGUCCAACGGAAGACUAUGGAAGUCUCCGCUACGUACUGCAUGAGUCUGCGCUCUGGCAAUACCAUAAAAAAGAGCUGCUACUACUACAGGAGUUACAGCACCAGAACACGGCCAGAAAAAACAGGUGGGAAGCUCAAAGAUCCUUGCUGUACGAAAACUGAGCAAAUAGAAUCUCAUGAAC